UACGUAGGGGGCAAGCGUUGUCCGGAAUCAUUGGGCGUAAAGAGCGCGUAGGCGGCUCGAUAAGUCCGCCGUGAAAGUCCAGGGCUCAACCCUGGAAUGGCGGUGGAAACUGUCGGGCUGGAGUCCGGAAGAGGCGAGUGGAAUUCCUGGUGUAGCGGUGAAAUGCGCAGAUAUCAGGAGGAACACCAAUGGCGAAGGCAGCUCGCUGGGACGGUACUGACGCUGAGACGCGAAAGCGUGGGGAGCAAACAGG
rnacentral:rRNA from 1 species